UACGGAGGGGCUAGCGUUGUUCGGAAUUACUGGGCGUAAAGCGCACGUAGGCGGCUUUGCAAGUCAGAGGUGAAAGCCCGGGGCUCAACCCCGGAAUUGCCUUUGAGACUGCAUCGCUAGAAUUGUGGAGAGGUAAGUGGAAUUCCGAGUGUAGAGGUGAAAUUCGUAGAUAUUCGGAAGAACACCAGUGGCGAAGGCGACUUACUGGACACAUAUUGACGCUGAGGUGCGAAAGCGUGGGGAGCAAACAGGG
rnacentral:rRNA from 1 species